UACUAGAGUAGCACUCGCAUAUCAAUAAGCGGAGGAAAAGAAACUAACAAGGAUUCCCCUAGUAACGGCGAGUGAAGCGGGAAGAGCUCAAAUUUGAAAUCUUAAAGGGUUUCCCUUUACGAAUUGUAGUCUAAAGAAGUGUUUUCUGUUGAGGUUUUGGUAAAAGUUCUUUGGAAUAGGACAUCAUAGAGGGAUGAGAAUCCCGUAUUUGACCUUUACUUUCAACUUUGUGAUACACUUUCAAAGAGUCGGAUUGUUUGGGAAUGCAGUCCAGAAUGGGUGGUAAAUUUCAUCUAAAGCUAAAUAUUGGCGAGAGACCGAUAGCGAACAAGUACCGUGAGGGAAAGAUGAAAAGAACUUUGAAAAGAGAGUUAAACAGUACGUGAAAUUGUCAAAAGGGAAGCGUUUGACACCAGUGUUGUUUUUCUGAAAAUCAAUUAAAGAACUGUUUAUGCUAAGCUGUUUAGACUUUAUCAGCUAUCUGUUUAGUUUUAGGCUUUUCUUUAAUGCACUUUUCAGUUAACAAGUCAACAUCAAUUUCUUUUGCUGUAAAAAAGCUUGAGGAAGGUGGCUUGAGAUUCGUCUUAAGUGUUUAUAGCCUCUUGCCUAUGCAGUCGGAGAGAUUGAGGUCUGCAGCGUAGAUCCUUCGGGGCUAAAUGCAUUUGUGCUAAGUUAUAGCAUUUUAUAGACAACUUGUUGACUAUGAUUUGUCUUGUAGCUUACUCGCUUAUGUUAUUUUACCUACGCUUAGGAUGUUGAGCGCAUGUCUCUCUCU
rnacentral:rRNA from 1 species